GAUGAACGCUGGCGGCGUGCCUAAUACAUGCAAGUCGAGCGAACGGACGAGAAGCUUGCUUCUCUGAUGUUAGCGGCGGACGGGUGAGUAACACGUGGAUAACCUACCUAUAAGACUGGGAUAACUUCGGGAAACCGUAGCUAAUACCGGAUAAUAUUUUGAACCGCAUGGUUCAAAAGUGAAAGACGGUCUUGCUGUCACUUAUAGAUGGAUCCGCGCUGCAUUAGCUAGUUGGUAAGGUAACGGCUUACCAAGGCAACGAUGCAUAGCCGACCUGAGAGAGGGAUAGGCCACACUGGAGCUGAGACACGGUCCAGACGCCUACGGGAGGGAGCAGUAGGGAAUCUGCCGCAAUGGGCGAAAGCAUGACGGAGCAACGGCGCGUGAGUGAUGACGGUGUUCGGAUCGUAAAACUCUGUUAUUAGGGAAGAACAUCUGUGUACGUAACUGUGCAGAUCUUGACGGUACCUAAUCAGAAAGCAACGGCUAACUACGUG
rnacentral:rRNA from 1 species